AGAUCUUGUUUUGAGAAAAAUCUGGUUCAUAGUUAUCAUUCUAGAUUCACAUCACGACGUUUCAGUUCUUCUACGACGUUUCUUCAGGCGGUCGACGUUCCUUCUACGGCGUCUGUGAGUAUUUAAGGGUUUCAUUUGCUUGAGAUUUGAAUCUUCUGAUUGUUGAAGCCUUUGAAGCCGAUCCUUUUAAAUUUCCAGUUCCCGAGGUAGUAUAUGUUUGUAACAUCAGUGGUUCAGCAUCUACAGUCGACUCAACAUCUACAGUGGAUUCAACAUCAGGUGUUUGCUAUUAUUGUUUGAUGUUGUUUGCUAAUGUUGUCAAGUAAGGUAAAAAUGGUCAUUCUAAUUAUCUGAAUAUUGCGUAUGAUAUCCUUUUAAUUUUAAUCACCCAACAAGUUUUUUGGUUUGUUUCUUUCAUAUUUCAUUAUGAUUUGUAUGCUUUUAGGGUUUGAUUUUAUAUUGGUCAUCACAUUAAUGGUGAGUACUCAAGAAUAUUGGAUGGUUUACUUAGUUUUAUUUUGGGUAUUUUUGGAUGAUUUCAUCCAUUUCUUUAGAUAGUUCAUGAUUGAAGAUGCAGUUGAAGGGAUCAUUUGAGUGAAAUGAAUGUUGAUUUAUCAGAAGAUGCAGUUGAAGGUAUCUUAAAUAAGGGAUGUAAUGUAAUUAUUCCUCUCAAUCAAAUAGACCGACCCUUGCUUCCUCUCAAAGUGUUAAAUGGUUAUAACAGCUGGUCAUGCUAAGGAUUGUUAUAACUAACCACUGCUCCUUACAAAGACUGAUGGACUUAAAUACUGAUGAGGCCUAUCCACUGUUGAUGACAAAUCCCUGUUAAAGUUGAAUGUGCUAAGGACUGUUAUAACUAACCACUGCUUCUUAUAUAAUCAUCGUUCCAGUAUCAUUGUUCCAACGUCGUCGUUUCAAUGAAGCUUCCCAUCACACAUCAACCUUUCUAUAUCGAUGUUGCAGUAUAAUUGUUGCAACAUCGUGAAAAGUUGCAUGCGCUACCUUCUUUGAUGGGAGAGUUGUAAGUUGAAUGGACGAUAUGUAUCUCUUCUUCUCAAUACUCGGCGUUUGUUCAUAAAGGAUAAGAGAAAACUGAAGCUCUCUCUAACCCAUUUUCAGAAAAAAAUUGUUGAUAUGUAGUUUCCCUUGAUAAUGAUGAUCAUGAUGAUGAUGAUUUUUUUACGGUUUCCAGUAUCAUUGUUCCAACAUCGUUUAAAGUAUGUGUGUUUUGCUACU